rnacentral:rRNA from 1 species
UACAGAGACUGCAAGCGUUAUUCGGAUUCACUGGGCGUAAAGGGUGCGCAGGCGGCCAAGUGUGUUAGGCGUGAAAGCCCGGGGCUUAACCCCGGAAUUGCACCUAAAACUACAUGGCUAGAGCAUUGGAGAGGGUAGCAGAAUUCACGGUGUAGCAGUGAAAAUGCGUAGAUAUCGUGAGGAAUACCAGAGGCGAAGGCGGCUACCUGGACAAUUGCUGACGCUCAGGCACGAAAGCGUGGGGGAGCAAAAAGGG